rnacentral:lncRNA from 1 species
UUCUCAAGCAGGGAAGAGAUAUAUUCUUCCAGAGACAAGGAGCACACAUGGGGAUCUAGCCUUUCUUAGAGUUUAGCAGUUGAUUUUCUGCUGUGGUCGAAUUUUGCCUUUGUUUUUGCCUGUAGCCUUGUGGUCCUUCUGUUUCACGCUCUUGCACGAUCUUCCCAUGUCUGGGUGACCAAGCUCUUUCUAGCCUGAAUCAGCAUGGAGAACAAGCAGAGGAUGGAUUUCUGCAAGAUGUGAGGACUGCGAUAUUCCCGUUCACGCAUGAACCACAGCUGCGGUCCCUAGAUCCCCUGACCUCUGGAGAAGGCUGCUACCAUUGCACUGACCCAACCUCACCAAGGCAUCAAAGGACAAAAGAAGGAACCAAAACGUGGGUGUCAUUACUGCAAGUCCCAUCGAGGUGCCAGGCAGUGACAAAACCAGAGAAUGUCUCAGGCAGAGAGACACAGAAAACCACAGGUCUGAAUGGCAACCACAUGUAAGCAAC